UACGAAGGGAGCUAGCGUUGUUCGGAAUCACUGGGCGUAAAGCGCACGUAGGCGGAUUUGUCAGUCAGGGGUGAAAUCCCGGGGCUCAACCUCGGAACUGCCUUUGAUACAGCAAGUCUUGAGUUCGAGAGAGGUGAGUGGAAUUCCUAGUGUAGAGGUGAAAUUCGUAGAUAUUAGGAAGAACACCCGUGGCGAAGGCGGUUCUCUGGGACGGUACUGACGCUGAGACGCGAAAGCGUGGGGAGCGAACAGG
rnacentral:rRNA from 1 species